UCGAACUCCUGAGCUCAAGCAAUCUGUCCACCUUGGCCUCCCAAAGUGCUGGGAUUACAGGCAUGAGCCACUGGGCUCAGCCUGUUGUUUCCUUUUAACUCUUGUCUUCAGACAGCUGAAAGAAUGCCAGCAGAUUUAUUCGCAUGACCUUAAAAACAUACUCAGCAUCUUUAGCCCACCUUGGCCUCCUAGCAUGCUGGAAUUACAGGCAUGAGCCACCUCAAAAACAUUCUUGUUAGGUGAUAUGCUCCAGAGGAAAGCAUGGACGUUCUGAAGUUUGACCUGCCUGUUCUAAACUAUCAUGGGCUGCUUACUUAUCUUGCCAUGUUCCUAAGGCUCAGCCUGCACUCCUACUCCCCACUUUUUAAAAUUGUUACCCUCUACAAAAUGAUUGAGAGAAACUAGAAUGAGUGGCAGGCUUAUUAGAGCAGUGGUUCUCUGGAUAUGUUUACAAAUGGAAAUAGCUGCUCACUCAGGAUCUUUGAAGACUCACCUAAACAUAACCUAGAAAAGAGACUUAGCAAACUCCCAGAGCCGACUCAGCCCUUAUGAUUCUGAAGAAGUGAUACUCAGGCACAGAAUAGUACCUUAUGAAACAUCUCUGUGUGAAAGGCCAGCUCACCAACUUGGAUGAGAAUAUUCUCCCCACUUUCAAGAAUGCUCAAGUUUUUCUUAGC